UUUUAAGAUUUAGAGUAGGUACACACAUCACCUGCACCAACGCCAAGUAGGUACACACACACAAACACACGUACACACACAUCUGCACCAACUCAAACUUCAAGUACCAACCCGCACACACGUAUUAUCUGCACCAACGCCAAGUAGGUACACACACACACACACACACGUAUUAGCUGCACCAACGCCAAGUAGGUACACACACACACACACGUAUUAUCUGCACCAACGCCAAGUAGGUACACACACACACACACGUAUUAUCUGCACCAACGCCAAGUAGGUACACACACACACACACACGUAUUAUCUGCACCAACGCCAAGUAGGUACACACACACACACACGUAUUAUCUGCACCAACGCCAAGUAGGUACACACACACACACACGUAUUAUCUGCACCAACGCCAAGUAGGUACACACACACACACGUAUUAUCUGCACCAACGCCAAGUAGGUACACACACACACACACGUAUUAUCUGCACCAACGCCAAGUAGGUACACACACACACACGUAUUAUCUGCACCAACGCCAAGUAGGUACACACACACACACGUAUUAUCUGCACCAACGCCAAGUAGGUACACACACACACACACACGUAUUAUCUGCACCAACGCCAAGUAGGUACACACACACACACGUAUUAUCUGCACCAACGCCAAGUAGGUACACACACACACACACGUAUUAUCUGCACCAACGCCAAGUAGGUACACACACACACACGUAUUAUCUGCACCAACGCCAAGUAGGUACACACACACACACACGUAUUAUCUGCACCAACGCCAAGUAGGUACACACACACACACACGUAUUAUCUGCACCAACGCCAAGUAGGUACACACACACACACGUAUUAUCUGCACCAACGCCAAGUAGGUACACACACACACACACGUAUUAUCUGCACCAACGCCAAGUAGGUACACACACACACACGUAUUAUCUGCACCAACGCCAAGUAGGUACACACACACACACACGUAUUAUCUGCACCAACGCCAAGUAGGUACACACACACACACGUAUUAUCUGCACCAACGCCAAGUAGGUACACACACACACACGUAUUAUCUGCACCAACGCAAGUCACCUGAGUGUGAGACGCCUACAACACAUAGACACCACAACUCUAUUCCACGUCAACAGCUGAACAUCUGCACUCUGUCUAAACAAUCUAUUGAGCCACCUUAGGAAAUGUGAUGUCAUCUCCUCCAGGAUGUGUGUUUGUCAGUAUGUUCACCUCCUCUCCAUUUCUUUCUCUCCCUUCCUUUCCUCCUCACCCCUUCUUUUUGUUGU